GAUGAACGCUGGCGGCGUGCCUAAUACAUGCAAGUCGAGCGAACGGACGAGGAGCUUGCGUCGCUGAUGUUAGCGGCGGGCGGGUGAGUAACACGUGUAUAACCUACCUAUAAGACUGGGAUAACUUCGGGAAACCGUAUCUAAUACCGGAUAAUAUUUUGAACCGCAUGGUUCAAAGGUGAAAUACGGUCUUGGUGUCACUACUAGCUGGAUCCGCGCUGCUUUAGCUAGUCGGUAUGGUAACGGCUUACCAAGGCAACGAUGCAUAGCCGAACUGAGAGAGUGGUCGGCCACACUGGAACGGAGACACGGUCCAUACUCCUACGAGAGGGAGCAGUAGCGUAUCUGACGCAAUGGGCGGAAGCCUGGCGGAACAGCGGCGAGUGAGUGAUGGAGGCCCUCGGAGCGGAAAACUCUGUUAUGGGUGGAGAACAUAUGUGGAAGUAACUGUGGACAGCUUGACGGUAACGGAUCAGAAAGCCACGGCUAACUACGUG
rnacentral:rRNA from 1 species